UGGCCGGUAGCUCAGCCGUUUAGAGCACUCGACGCGAAAUCGAGUUGUCGGAGGUUCAAAUCCUUCCCGGCCAG
rnacentral:tRNA from 1 species